rnacentral:lncRNA from 1 species
CAGAAAUAUAUGAUACAUGCACCAUUGGUCUGUCACCCAAUUACUGGAUUGGAAAGUAUCCGCUCAGUGACGUUCGGCUGCUGGACUGUAAUAAUUCACAGCUUGGGACUGCAUCAGACGCACACUAAAUGUAGGAGGUUUGAAUCUUGUUGGGACUUUUCGUGUAUGCUGUUGCAUUGAUGCCGGUAAUUCAAUUUUCCUUCUACCUUUUUUGGUCUAUCAUUGGUAUAAUAUUGGUCAAUGUGUCUGGCUUUGCUUCUCAGGUACACGAGUCAUCAAUUAGUCAAAAGAAGGGGAUAAAGGCAAAGGCAUGGUCCUUUAUAUUUUUGGACAAAGCUUUGUUUACUGGAGAGGAAAGAUGCUGUGUUUAACCUUGUAACUAUUUACUGUCAAAAAUAUAUGAUUACUUGCAUAAUUACCUCAUAAUUCUAUCAUACUGACACAUAAACCUUGUUGAUGUUCAACUUGACUUUUUGGUCUACUUGGCAUUGUUCUCAUAUCUUCUUUUUUUUCUAUAUUUCUUCCAACCUUCAGAAGUUCAUAUGUUUUUGUUCUGGUUUGGGGCAGACCACUGUUCCUGAUGUCUUGGUACUACUUGACAUCAGCCUUUUUUAAGAGUUGCUCUGUUCCUUGGGAACCUGCUGUCUAAGUGGUCUUCAAGGUGGUGGUGAAGCAAUAUCUUUACAUUGUUUUCUGGGUGAAACUGAUUUUUUCCCAGUUGCAUGGAAUGUGAUCUUCAUUCUUAUACGAAUCCAUUUUCUUAGUGCUGGUUCAUCUGCCGAUAGAAAUCCUCGUGGUCAAAGAUAUACGUCUUCUCUCCACUUUCCAAGGUAAGCUAGAAAUAGAUUGAAAUUAUGUCAACUGUUAAUUCACAUAAAAAAUGUCAACACUUGCCUUUGUAACUCUAAGAUUUGUUUUAAGGUGCGAUAACCUUUGAUUGUUCAGUUGGGAGCCAGCAGGAUCAAAGUUGGCUGCAUGUUCUUUGUAUCUAUGCUGACUGCUCUUAUUUGCAAUUCCUCUUCAUUUCUCCUUUCUUCAAGAUAUAGAAUAUAGUUCACUUGGUAUAAAUGAUAUGAUUCUGAAACAUGGUAAUGGAGAUUGCUUUAUCCUCUGAUGAUAUUUGUAAGUCGAUAUUCCAUCCUGGCCAUUUCGUAUAUGGUUCAAUUCAGUUCUCCCCGUGUCAACAGUUCUGUUUGGUUGAUUCCUUCUUUAAAUACAUUAUAUAUAUUCUGAGGGUUACAGAGGAUGUUCCUGUUGCUAGAUUUGAAGAACCUGUAGCAGAUAUCUAUAUGAUUAAUCAGCUUCAUUUGCUGUUGACAGCAAAAACAGUUUCAUUGCAGAAUCUCUCUUUCCAAAGACAGCAAAACUUAUUUGAUUCAUUUGCCAAUGAUCUUUCUUGACACAAUUAAGGGUGUAAUUAGUGUGUUUCGUGCAGUCUUUUAUUUAGUUGGCUCUCAUUUCAGCAGUUGAUUUCCAUUUGAGGACAAGUUUCAGAGUUUAUGGAUGUUCAGAUCCUCUGCUUUGUAGUAUUUGCUUUGGGAGCAACCCCACCCACGUCGAAUUCCUAAUAAGAAGUUUUGUCAUGACAAAUUUACAUUGGACACAGUGGGAGGCUUGCAAAGCAUUUAUUUUUUGGACAACAAAUGCAUACGAGUGAAAUCUUAAUAUCAGGUAGUGACCUCAUUUCCUUAGCAAUCUUCUCAAACCUAGUUAUGACUAUGAAGUGGCUUAAACUACCAUUGGGGUUUUGUUUCUCUAUCUAGAUUAUGAAAUACCACAGCUCUUAUCACUAGAUGGAUUUCAAGAAAGUCAACAAAGGUGGAGAAUUCAGUGAAAAAAGGCUGUCUUUAGGAAUAUAUGUUACAAGGUCCGAAAGGUUUGUGUCGGGAACCCACCCAAUUCAUAGAAAUAGAAGGAUGGCAGCCAUUAACUCCUCAUUCCUUGACACGAAGACCGAGGUAGGGGGAAAAAAUCAACUGGUGGUCAAAUAGAGUGAAAUUGGGUAUUUUCCCAGUAAUUAAUUCCGUAACUGCAUUCUCAACAUAGAAGAAAAUAAUUCUUGGCUUGCUUAUGAAGAAAUUGGCAUUAACAAGACAACUUGUUGUCCCAAAAAAACAAGCAAAAGCUACCAAGAUGCAGGACAGAACUAUGUAUUUGAUGUUAUGAGAUAACAAUGACUUUUGUUUCCACUUUAUAUCUUCUUAGAGACAAAAUGCUUUGUUAAUCCAUGCAUAAGAAUAUAUCUGCACAAUAAUUUAUUUGGACAUACAGUAGCCGUAGCAGGAAAUUUUGUCCACAAAAUCCAGUGCAACUGCCCCCACUUGGCCUCAAGGGCAGCUCUGCCUCAGGUUGAGAAACAGGCUCUGGAGAUGUGUAAGAAAAGUGAUAUCUGUUACUUCCACACUUGAAGAUGCUUCAUAACUUUCCAGUAACUUCAGUUUGGUGGCUGUCCAAACAUGCUUACAUGUGUAUGUUAAAUAUUGCUUGUGGAAAAGCUUUACAAUUUAGAGUACUGCUGUCACCAAGGUGUUUAUGUUUGCAGCUAAUGUGGACUCUUUUGCAGCCUACUGAUAACUGAUAAAUUUUCUGUUAGCUAUGAAUUAUUCAUGCCAACAUUGUGAGAUAUGGUGGCACCUGGAGUCCCAAUCUAAGCUGUUUUGAUUCAUAUCUAGUGGCUGCAUCAGAUGAUACUGACUGUAGGAGGCUUGAAUCUUAUCGGUGCUAGUGGUAUUUAUUGCAUUAACCCUACUGAAAUAAUAUUUUCUUGUGUUGUAUCUGAGUACACACAGCAUGGUUAGUUAUAUUAAUUGCUCAGCUUAUACUAACUAUAACCAGCACCAUCCAAGCAUGGGAUCAGGGACACAAGUAGUACAUGACUGACCUCAUCAACUUUAUCUUGAGCAAAGGUUUAAUUACUCACCAUUAGAAAAAGGGACAAAGUUAGUGUCCUGGGUGUUGACCUUGGGUACCAGCAUCAAGUCCUAAGCUUUCUUUACUGAAGAAGAAAGAGGCAUUUGACCCUGGGACCAUGUAAGCUGUUUGCUACAUAAUAAGCAAUUGUGAGGAAACAUGCUCAUUAUUGCUCUGACAUACGAGCUCCAAGCAUCUCUGAGAACUGUCCAAACCAACAAAAGGAAACUAAAGUGCCUCUGUAAAGCACUAUCUGAAUCACAUUCAAAUCAAUAAUUGUAUUACAUUGAUGACGACUGGCAAAUACGAGGUUACUAAAGGUGUUUGGUACGCAGUUUUGUUUGCAUCAAAGUCUGUUAAAUUUAGUUCAUAAUCUGUCUAACUUAAGCAGUGAACUCAAUGCUAAAGUGCCUCAUGCCUCACUCCAACGGCUGCAUUUUUCUGCUCUUUUCUCGUGAAAUUUGAUAUUCGUUGGUAGAAGUAUGAAAUAUCAGGUAUGAUGGGAUAUCUUGCAGUGAGAUUAAAGUUUAGAUAUCUAUUGCAUGGAUUGAAGAUUGCACUUCAGAUAAUAAUACUUUAGUAGUUCCUUGCCCUUUUGCAUUUUGAUCAAAAUUAUGCUGAAGUUUUAUAGUGAGGAUGAAAUGCUGAAAGAUAAGCAAUUUAUUUAUGACAUGUUAAAGCCAUUGGUUACUGAUAUAUAUGAUAUUAUGAUAAAACUGGAUCAAGACGUGGUCAAUAGCGUCUGGGUGGUGGUAUGGUUACAGUUAACGUUUCAUUCUACAGAGCGUCGUUCUUUGAGGUGAGUGGUUAUCGAUCUUCCUUUUCUUUAGAUUCCAUAUCUAACUCCUUUUCUUCUGUUUUUAGUUUUGCAGAAUGUAUUAUUUUUUCCCCAUUACUAUUUUGUGUUCAUCGGAAAUGGUACCGUCUAGUUAUGAUUAUUUAAUAGACCUAUAACUGUGGUUUAAUUGUUUUCAAUUUGCAAUUUGGGUUCUUAACUUGUUGGUAAAUUUGUCUAAUUGUGUUUUGCGAGAAGCCUAAGAUUGGAUUGUAGUUGAGGGAGGACUGUGCUGGUCGUCUGAGGUGACCUCAUACAUGACGAUAAUAGAAAUGUCUCUUGGCUGGAGGUUGAUGAAACUCUUAUUCUUGGGUAUGUUACUUGAUUCAAUUGAGAUUCAAAUGUGGUCUUUUAUGGAAAAUAAGUUGUCCCAGUUCUUUUAUGUUAUAUUUAGUUCCUCUACCAUCGUGAUAUGUUUUAGUUUAACACAGUUUCCAAAGAAAUUUAUUUUGUAAGGCACUUGAUAGGAAAUGCCUUAGGUGUUGAAGUGGAUUUCUUAUCUUUAUCAUCAGGUCGAAAGUGUGGAAUAUGUAUGUACUUUCAUGAUAAUGUUGGGUGCAAUAUCAUGAAUACAAAUAGCUAUCUGUAUCUUGAUGGUACAUGUAGGAAAUUGAAGCUUGGAAGUAUUCUACCUGGUGAUUAACAAGAUUGUUAUGUAAUGUGAGUGAAGUAGUUGCAGCUAUGCUACAAACGUAGUUUUUGAAAUGUCUUUGUUUGGUACUUAAUUAUGUGAAUUUAAUUAGUCUUCCUGAUUAUCAUAAAUGAUUUUAUUUCCCUCUUGCAUUUUUGGUUCAUAGUCAAAUGCUGCCUAGAUCCCAAAGAAAUAUAAGGAGUUGGUAGAAUUAUAAAGGAAUGCUUGGAACUACUAUCAUUUUACCAAUAUUUUCCCUCCAUUUCACAAUUCUCUCAGUUUUAGAAUCUCUCUUUUCAUAAUAAUUUGAAUAUUUGCUUAGCAUAAUUUUUUGCAAGUGUUUAUAAACAGAUGAAAAUGAGUAAUAGAUAGUACUUAUAGGUCUUACGAAAUAUGCACUAUUAUACCCAUGUAGUAUGUUUGUAGAACUCCACUUAGAGUUCCCACGCAGGUUAUGUAGGGUUGAUUGCCAACUAGUUUUAGUAGUUGAGAUAUCAACAAAGAAAGAAAAUGUAGAGGGGAAAGAUUUAACAUAGUUUAUGGAUAGUGGCUGUAAUUCAAUGGUUUGGUGUUAGGAUGCAUGUUGCAUUGUUGCUUCAUUCUGUGUCGGUUUUGGUCUAGGUAGUAGACUCUUUUAACUCCGCCUAUGUUGCAUGUUCGCUUGAUACAGCCGGUCCCAAGCGCGAUAAAAGAGGAGGGAUGAGCUGACAUAUGGUGCAGUUGCCAAAUGGAUAAAGAUCUCGUGUGGAGUAUUUUUAAUGUUCUCACGUCUCGAUUUAGUCAUUUCGAGUAUGUGAUUGAUUCUGCAAUUAAUAGUUUUCUUAUACUCAUCUCCUUUUUUGAUUGCACAUAUUUUCUCAAUGAUCGGAUUGGUUAUAUGGUUAUAUCGUUUGGAUUCAUGGAAAGAUUGAUCAUUUAUUCAAAAGUUGUAUGAUAACUUGGAUUCAUACUUUUUGUAGUUUAUUAAUUUUUGCAUAUUUUGACAUGGUAAGAAGAAUUUUUACAUUUAAACAAUUAUUAUUUGAGAAAUAUAUGUAGGUCAAGAGCUUUUAAACCUACAUAAUUCUAUUCUUUUCGAGUUUGAGAUACUUUGUACUUCAAAUAGU